rnacentral:rRNA from 1 species
AUUAAUAUAAUAAAAUUUUAAUAAUUGAUUUUAUAUAUAUAUAUAAUAUUAAAAAAAAUUUUUUAUAAAAGUUAAAAAAGUUAAAGUAAAUUUUUAGAAAAAAUAAAUUGUAUUUAUAAUUUAAGUAAUGUUAAUGAAAAUUUUAAAUUUAGAUAAAUAAAAAAAAAUUUUGUACCUUUUGUAUCAGGGUUAAUUAAAUAAUUUUUAAAUAAUUAAAUAUCUCGAAAUUAAAAGAAUUAAAUAUAUAAAAUUUUUUUUGUGAAAUAAAAAUUAUAAAUAUAUAUUUAGAGAUUAAAUGUUAUUCAAUUUUAAUGAUAUCUAGUUUUUUUUGAAUUAAAUUUAAUUUAUAUAUUUUUUAAAAAUAAAUUUUAUUAAAAAAUUUUAUUUUAUAAAAUAUAAAUAAUUUAUGGGAUAAACUAUAAAUUAAUUAUAUAAUAAUUUAAUUUAAAACUUAAAAGAAAUUAUUUUUAAAAUUUAAAAAUAUUUAAUAAGUAUUUAAUAAUUUAUUAAUAAAUUUAAUUAUAUUUUAUAUAUUUUUAUAAAUAUAAAGUAAAAAUUUAUUGUAUAUAUAAAUUAAAAAAAAAAUAAUUUUAAUAAUUUAAAUUAUAUUAAAAUGAUUAAAUUAGUAAUUUAAUUUGUUUAAAAUUAUUUUAUAAAAAAAAUAUUUUUAAGUAAUUAGGCAAAAUAAUUAUAUUCACCUGUUUAACAAAAACAUGUCUUUUUGAUUUUAAUAUAAAGUCAGUUCUGCUCAAUGAAAAAUUAAAUAGCUGCAGUAUUUUAACUGUACGAAGGUAGCAUAAUCAUUUGUCUUUUAAUUGAAGGCUAGAAUGAAUGAAUUAAUGAAAUAUAAACUGUCUCAGUUAUAUAAAAUAAAUUUAAAUUUUAAGUUAAAAUGCUUAAUUUUAUUUAAGGGACGAUAAGACCCUAUAGAAUUUUAUAUAUUACAAAUUUUAUAAAUUUUAAUAAUAUAUUUAGUUGGGAGGAUUUUUAAAUUUAAUUAACUUUAAAGUUUUAAAAAUAUUGAUUUAUAGAAAUUUAAUUGAAAUAUAUUAUAAGAUAUAAUAAGAGAAUAGAUUACCUUAGGGAUAACAGCGUAAUAUUUUUGGAAAGAUCAAAUUGAAAAAAUUGUUUGCGACCUCGAUGUUGAAUUAAAAUAAAUUAUAAAUGUAGGCGUUUAUAAAUUUAGUCUGUUCGACUAUAAAAAUUUUACAUGAUUUGAGUUCAGAUCGACGUGAGUCAGAUUGGUUUCUAUCUUUAAAAAAAUUUAAGAUUUUUGUACGAAAGGACUAAAUUUAAUAAAUAAUUUAUAUAAAAAUUAAUUAAUUAAA